rnacentral:snoRNA from 1 species
AGAUCAUUUGAAAGGCAGCUUGUGGGGCUGGGAAACCAGGAGCUCUAAGACUGACCAAAGACCAAAGACCAAAGA